UGUUUAUAGAAAUAAUUAUAAAUAAAGCCUGCUCCAUGUAAAUAUAAAUAGCCGCAGAAAAUUUACUGUGCUAAGGUAGCAUAAUCAUUAGUCUCUUAAUUAGAGACUAGAAUGAAAGGCAUAACAUUUAUACACUUUAUUUGCCCUAAAUAUUAAAAUUAAACUAAUUAUAAAAAUGUAAUUAUAAAAAAACUAGACGACAAGACCCUAUUAAACUUAACUUAAGUUAAGCUGGGGCAGCUAACUAAUAAUUACUUUAAUUUUUUAAAAUUUAAAACUCCAAUAAAAUUGAUAAUAACAAGUUACUAUAGGGAUAACAGCGUAAUUUUAUUUUAAAGCUCUUAUUAAAAAUAAAGAUUACGACCUCGAUGUUGAAUUAAUUUAACUUUUAACUGAAACAAGAUAAAAAGUAAGUCUGUUCGACUUUUAAAAAAUUACA
rnacentral:rRNA from 1 species